CACCUCGGCGGCGCGGCCGGGCCCGGCCUCUUUGGGCGCCGCGGCCAUGAGGUGAGGUGGGGCCGGGCUGGGCCGGGCCGCCAUGAGGUGAGAGCGCGGGUCUGGGCGUCUGCUCCCCUCCCGGGCUGUGGAAGCGGGGUACACCGUAAAUGGGGUUGUGCCUUCCCCUGCCCGCAGGGGCAGCAGUGCUGGUCAGAAGAAAAGAGUAGCCGGCGGUCCUGCCCUGAAGAUCCCCAUUCAAAUGAAAUUCGAGAAGAUGGAAGCCGUAACCCACGGUUAUGAGUUCUGCCAGAGAGGGGGUUGUUUUCAGGAUCUGGCAUCCUGAAAGGGUCUGUGAACUUGGAACAUCAGAGGUUGGUUUUAGGCAAGGUAUAAGACAAAUUACCAAAACGGUUUGUUAAUUGUUAAGCCGAUCUCACUGCUUGUUUAAAAUUACAUCUUUCAAUUGACCUAUUUAUUAAAUUUAUUUAUAUUUAAA